UCGAGCGCGCCCUUCGGGGUGAGCGGCGGACGGGUUAGUAACGCGUGGGAACGUACCCAGAUCUAAGGAAUAGCCACUGGAAACGGUGAGUAAUACCUUAUACGCCCUUCGGGGGAAAGAUUUAUCGGAUUUGGAUCGGCCCGCGUUAGAUUAGAUAGUUGGUGGGGUAACGGCCUACCAAGUCUACGAUCUAUAGCUGGUUUUAGAGGAUGAUCAGCAACACUGGGACUGAGACACGGCCCAGACUCCUACGGGAGGCAGCAGUGGGGAAUCUUGGACAAUGGGCGCAAGCCUGAUCCAGCCAUGCCGCGUGAGUGAUGAAGGCCUUAGGGUCGUAAAGCUCUUUCGCCAGGGAUGAUAAUGACAGUACCUGGUAAAGAAACCCCGGCUAACUCCGUGCCAGCAGCCGCGGUAAUACGGAGGGGGUUAGCGUUGUUCGGAAUUACUGGGCGUAAAGCGCGCGUAGGCGGGUUGUUAAGUUAGAGGUGAAAUCCCGGGGCUCAACCCCGGAACUGCCUUUAAUACUGGCAACCUAGAGUUCGAGAGAGGUGAGUGGAAUUCCGAGUGUAGAGGUGAAAUUCGUAGAUAUUCGGAGGAACACCAGUGGCGAAGGCGGCUCACUGGCUCGAUACUGACGCUGAGGUGCGAAAGUGUGGGGAGCAAACAGGAUUAGAUACCCUGGUAGUCCACACCGU
rnacentral:rRNA from 1 species